UGGACAAAUGCUGCAUCCUUGUGAUGUUGAGGAAAGUCCUUGCUCGCACAACCUGGAAUGGUUGUAGUGUUUGUGCUUAGGGAACCAAUAACCUAAGGUAGCGUAAGCUAACGGCUUUGAACGAACCUGUCAAAUGGUUUUAGUAGAUAUAAAAGUGCCAAAGUGACGAAGAAAAGGGAAACCUUGGAAGUGGAACGUGGUAAACCCCGCAAGCGAGAAACCCAAAUUAUGGUAGGGGAGCUGUUGCUAGGAAUCAUAACGAUGCAACGGACCAGAAAUGGUAGAUAAAUAUUUGUCGCACUUUAAAAGUGUACAGAACAAGGCUUAUAA
rnacentral:RNase_P_RNA from 1 species